rnacentral:rRNA from 1 species
CCUACGGUGAGCAGCAGUGGGGAAUAUUGCACAAUGGGGGCAACUCUGAUGCAGCGACGCCGCGUGAGUGAAGACGUAUUUCUGUGUUUAAAGCUCUAUCAGCAGGGAAGUAAAUGACGGUACCUGACUAAGAAUCCCCGUCUAACUCCAUGCCAGCAGCCGCGGUAAUACGUAGGGAGCAAGCGUUAUCCGGAUUUACUGGGUGUAAAGCGGGCGUAGACGGUUAUGUAAGUUUGAGGUGAAAGCCCCGGGCUCAACUAUGGGACUGCUUCGGAAACUGUCAAACUGGAGUGCAGUUGAGGUAGGCGGAAUUCCUAGUGUAGCGGUGAAAUGCGUAGAGAUUAGGCAGAACACCGGUGGCGAAGGCGGCUUACUAAACUAUGACUGACGUUGAGGCUCGAAGGCGUGGGGAGCAAACAGGAUUAGAUACACCAGUAGGC